UUUUGACCCUGCGAAUGUGUCCAUGCCACGGGACGACACCCCCCCUCCCACACACAAAAAAAAGUUCAGGCUCAGGAUUUUUUUUUGCUUUAACCCCUGUAGUCAGGUGUGUGUGUGUAUAUUAUUCAGGAGUGUGUUAGUCAGGUGUGUGUGUGUUAGUCAGGUGUGUGUGUGUUAGACAGGUGUGUGUGUGUUAGUCAGGAGUGUUAGUCAGGAGUGUGUGUGUGGGUCAGGUGUGUGUUAGUCAGGAGUGUGUGUGGGUCAGGUGUGUGUGUGUGUUAGACAGGUGUGUGUGUGUUAGUCAGGAGUGUGUGUGUGGGUCAGGUGUGUGUUAGUCAGGAGUGUGUGUUUGGUCAGGUGUGUGUUAGUCAGGAGUGUGUU
ensembl:lncRNA